UGAAAAUAAGCAGAGAAAUUACGCUACUCGUCCAGACGGCGAAGAGUCGGUGCGAGUAACUGCGACCGGAGGGGGAGCUAAUCCUAGUAUAUAAGAGGAUGUCACAAAUAUCUGAUGAAUAUCUUCUGAUAGCUAGUUUAGUGAGUUGCCAUUCGGAACGCAUCCACCAUACCGCCAAUCAGCCGUCAGAUCGUACAGGCCGGCCAGAUGGCCCUGCUCUGCAGCCUCAGAUGUCUGUCCCCGCCCUGCCCAGCUGGUCUCCCUGGUCACAAUGCCCGUCUGCACUGGCAUCACGGUACUGAACUUCCCAUGGUGAUCAAGGAAGCA